rnacentral:misc_RNA from 1 species
AAAUGCGAUAAGUAAUGUGAAUUGCAGAAUUCAGUGAAUCAUCGAAUCUUUGAACGCACAUUGCGCCCGCCAGCACUCUGGCGGGCAUGCCUGUUCGAGCGUCAUUUCAACCCUCAGAACCCCUUGCGGGAUCUGGCGUUGGGGAUUGGCAUCCAGCCAGCCCCGAAAUCUAGUGGCGGUCCCUCCGCGACCUCCCCUGUGCAGUAGCGAUACCUCGCAGCGGGACAGCGGUCUGACCACGCCGUAAAACCCCCAACUUCUCAAGGUUGACCUCGAAUCAGGUAGGAAUACCCACUGAACUUAAGC